CCUACGGGUGGCUGCAGUGGGGAAUAUUGGGCAAUGGGCGCAAGCCUGACCCAGCAACGCCGCGUGAAUGAUGAAGGCUUUCGGGUUGUAAACUUCUUUUGUCAGGGACGAAGCAAGUGACGGUACCUUACGAAUAAGCCACGGCUAACUACGUGCCAGCAGCCGCGGUAAUACGUAGGUGGCAAGCGUUAUCCGGAUUUACUGGGUGUAAAGGGCGUGUAGGCGGGACUGCAAGUCAGAUGUGAAACCCACGGGCUCAACCUGGGUCCUGCAUUUGAAACUGGUAGACUGGAGUGUGUGAGAGGAUAGUGGAAUUCCAGGUGGAGGGGUGGAAUGCGUAGAUAUUAGGAGGAACAUCAGUGGCGAAGGCGAAU
rnacentral:rRNA from 1 species